rnacentral:lncRNA from 1 species
CUGAUACAGCUGUCUAAGCAGAGAUGUCAAGUAGGCAGUUGGAUAAAUGGGUCUGAAAUUCAGAGGAGAAGUCCAAGCUGGAGAAAUUUGAGAGCCAUCAGCAUUGUAGUGGACACUGUCAGAGCUGUGCUUUAUGAAGACAACGCCAUCAGCAGAGUGUGUAAGAGGCGAAAGUGGGGAGAGACUGGAGGCAAAGAGGCCAGGUCACAGCCCUGUGUCAAAUGUCACCAGACAAUAUGAUUGUAACAAUGUCGCAGGCUUCAGGGAACUGUUUCAUAAGAAAUCUCCUAUGUGGAUCCCUGGUGACACCGCUGUGAUGUGAGAUGAAGCGGGUUCAAGAGCAGAAGAAAAGACAGUAUUAUGAAGAGAAGUUACAGUGUCAAGAAGCUGACUCUAGAAUGUGAGGUGGAAAAUCAGGGACUUCAGAGUCAACAGGGCUGGGUUUAAACAUCAGCUUUACUGCUUACGAACAUUUGACCUUAAAUAACUUACUUAACCUCUAUGAGCCUUAGUUUCUGAAUCUAUGGAACAAGGACUAUAAUACAUGCCUCAUGAGACUAUCGAAAGGAUUAAAUGAGAUGAUACACCUGUAACGCUAACUGAAGCCACAAUCCAUGUCGUCCAGUUCCAGAGGAGGGCCAGAGACAAGGAAACAUGGAAAUCUGUAGCCUCAACGUCAUGGAAAAGCAAUUCCAAUU